GCCGCUUCGGGAACCUCAAACGCCCGGGCGCCCCGCCCUCCUCCCACUUUGGGGGCCCCGCUCAAGGUCUCCGGGUCUGGAAGGAUGUUGGAGCCGUGGGGCCGUGGAACGGUUCAUGUGGCAGUUGGAGAACGGGACCUGGCUGGGCAGGACAGCCCUGAUAGCUCCACCCCUGCCUUCCCCAGGGAUACACCUUUAGAGAUCUACGCUCUGAUGUCGGGACCUGGCAACCAUCCCAAGGAGCCCAUUUAGGGCCAACCUCUGGAACUGACCGAUCGGGGCCAUCUCCACGGGAUCUGCAGUGUCAUCAGAUUACCUGCAAGCCUGUAGAAGAGGAAGGAUAUGCCAGUGAUCACUUCGGAGGUGACAGAGGAACCUUCCUUUCCUUACGCUCAUUAUACAUAUGAGGAAACUGAAAGCACAAAAAGCUCCUGGCACCCACCAUUCUACUUUCUGUCUCUAUGAAUUUGACUACCUCAUUCUCCUAGAGAAUAUUCGGUCCCCUGAUGGCUCCCUUGAAGAGCACCACUGGCAACAUGGAUGGACCUGGAGAUUAUUAUACAAGUG